UUUAACUGCUUUGUUUACCACUUAAAUGCAGAUUUUAUUUUCACUGUCUUUGCUCCUUUGCAAGGCUUUUGGUGUGAACUUAAACAUGAAAAUCGUGUUCUUUAACAAUAUGUUAAAAGUGCUUAUAUGUUAAAAGCGCUCACCACAAAGCAGACACUUCUUUGUUGGGCAACCAGCACGGCUUUUUCAUCUCGUCUGUGUGUCCUCACCCGCCCCAACCUAUUUAGGUCAAUACAAGCAACUUCAGAGGAAGUCACUGCUUGGCUAUAAGAGUACAGCUUUGGGCUGCCGAGGACAAAGAGCAUGAGGAAAACAGGAGUGCUCUCGGGCCAUCCUACAGCUGUGGAUGCACUCUCAAUGCCAUAGGGGGUAUCCACCUGAUGGCGUUUGGUCCUUCUUUGGACACUGAAGCCAUCCUUUUGCUGAAAGGCACUGCCCUGUGCUUUGGGACAAGGAUCUGCACUUUGUGUCCUGGGGCAGCAGUGUGGGUCCAAACCUUCAAGAGGGGUGGAGAAGAGGCCAGGACGCUGCCCUGCGGCACCACAGGGGAGGGGGGAAUUAGCAGGAGGAGACGCGCGGCCGAGAGGCGAGGAGCGAACCGCUUCCCCGAGCCCUUCCACUGCGGAGCCGCGAGGGAACAUCAGACGCGUUAAAAAAAGCCCCAACCAAACCAAAACAAAACGCGGCGUUGGAGCCGGCGCACGGCGAGCGGAGAUCAAACAGACGCGGAGAGAGAGAGAGAGAGAGAGAGAGAGGAGAAGGAGGGAGAGAGGGAGAGACAGAUUAACUGGAGCGGCAGCGGCGGCAACAACAACAACAACAAAAAAUCAUACUUAUAAUAAUAACAAUAAUAAUAAUAAUAAAAACCCAAACCACCAACAAGGGAGAUAUUGUUUAAAAAGAGCGAGCGAGGCAGCGAGCCGCAGCGCCGGGCUGACCGAGUGGAUCCGCGCAGCACUCCCGGGACCGCCGGCACCGCGCUGAGUCCCCGCCGAGCGGCCGC
ensembl:lncRNA